rnacentral:rRNA from 1 species
GAUGAACGCUGGCGGCGUGCCUAAUACAUGCAAGUCGAACGGACGGACGAGGCUCUUGCGUCUCUGUUGUUAGGCGCGGACGUGAGUGUAACACGUGUAUCCUCUACCUAUAAGACUGGGAUCACUUCGGGAAACCGGCGCUAACCCGGGAGAAGAUUUUGAUCCGCGGGGGGCGAUGGUGAAUUACGGUGUUUCGGGCAGUUCUCGAUGGAUCCGCGCUGCUUUGGCUGGUAGGUACGGUAACGGCUUUCGACGGGAAGGAUGCAUAGCCGACGGGAGAGGGUGAUCGCCCACACUGGAACGGAGACACGGUCCAGACUCCUACGGGAGGGAGCAGUAGGGAAUCUGCCGCAAUGGGCGAAAGCCUUACGGAGCGACGCGGCGUGAGUGAUGAAGGUGUUCGGAGCGUAAAACUCGGUUAUGAGGGAAGAACAGAUGUGUAAGGAACUGUGCACAGAUUGACGGUACCUAAUCAGAAAGCCACGGCUAACUACGUG